CCUACGGGAGGCAGCAGUGAGGAAUAUUGGUCAAUGGACGAGAGUCUGAACCAGCCAAGUAGCGUGAAGGAUGACGGCCCUAUGGGUUGUAAACUUCUUUUAUAAGGGAAUAAAACGAGGCACGUGUGCCUUUUUGCAUGUACUUUAUGAAUAAGGAUCGGCUAACUCCGUGCCAGCAGCCGCGGUAAUACGGAGGCUCCGAGCGUUAUCCGGAUUUAUUGGGUUUAAAGGGAGCGGAGAUGGGUUGUUAAGUCAGUUGUGAAAGUUUGCGGCUCAACCCUAAAAUUGCAAUUGAUACUGGCAGUCUUGAGUACAGGUGAGGUAUGCGGAAUUCGUGGUGUAGCGGUGAAAUGCUUAGAUAUCACGAAGAACCCCGAUUGCGAAGGCAGCUUACUAA
rnacentral:rRNA from 1 species